UCCAGGGUAGCUUAGUGGACAUGGCAUCUGCCCGGUAAGCGGAACACUGUGGGUUCGAUUCCCAUCCCUGGAC